GGAGAAGUAAAACAGAACUUUACCAAUAGAAUUUUGCUCCCGCCACAGUACUUCCCGCCAGCAACAACUAGUACUAAAAAUUAGAGGCGCCAGAUUACAGAAAUUAGAGGCGCCAAGUUUACAAUUUCAGUAGAUGAAGCGUCUGUGCCCAGCUAUAAAGCCAGCACAGUUGCACCAAGUAAAACAACACACACACAGACCAUGGCCAUUGACUUGAAUAUAGCACCAGGAGAGGGAGAAGAUGAACAUGAGCCUCCCUUGCAUGAGGAAGUGCUCCAGUUUGGUCAUCACUUCGAUCUGAACAUGAACCCAGGUACAUCUUGAUCAUCUUUUCAUUUGUUCCCCUUGAACAUGUGCACAUGCUGAUGUUUCUUCUUCACCGUAGAGGACGAACAUGAGGCUGCCUUGCUUGAAGAACCCCGGGUUGGUUUUGAGCCUCACUUGCAUGAAGAAGUACUCCAGGCCGGCCAUCAAUUCGCUGGAGAAGAUGAACAUGAGCCUCCCUUGCAUGAAGAAGUACCACUGGCUGGACAUCACUUCGAUCUGAACAUGAACCAUGGUACAUCUUGACCAUAUGCACAUGUUCAAUUCUUCUGCAUACUGUAGCUAAUCCUGAUGGUGUCUUCAUGUAGAACAUGAGGCCGACAUUGCCCAUGAAGAAGAGGAACAUGAGGCCGAUGUUGCCCAUGGAGAAGAGGACCUGCAUGAAUCAGAUGAAUCAGGUUAGUAAAACAAUUUAGUUAGCACAUUUGAAUGUUUAAUUAUGAUCUUAUUCAACUACUCACAUAACCUCACCUUGUAGACGAUGAACUUGAAGACCACGGUGGUUUUUUCCAGAGCAUGGAAGAGGAAGUGCAAGCAAUGGAUGAAGCUCU
rnacentral:lncRNA from 1 species